rnacentral:rRNA from 1 species
GCAGCCGCGGUAAUACGGAGGAUCCGAGCGUUAUCCGGAUUUAUUGGGUUUAAAGGGAGCGUAGACGGAUAGGCAAGUCUGGAGUGAAGGCCCGGGGCUCAACCCCGGGACUGCUUUGGAAACUGUUUAUCUAGAGUGCUGGAGAGGUAAGUGGAAUUCCUAGUGUAGCGGUGAAAUGCGUAGAUAUUAGGAGGAACACCAGUGGCGAAGGCGGCUUACUGGACAGUAACUGACGUUGAGGCUCGAAAGCGUGGGGAGCAAACA